GAGAUAUCCCAUGGCUGCCUAAAUGCCGUGACACUCGUUGCAAUGGGGUCCGCCAGAUAACAUCAAGCCGUGUCAUUUUGUUGUACUGCUAUCGAGUCUACAGUGUAAGCUAGAGCUGUUUGCCCCAAUCAACACCUAAGCGAAUAACUCGAACGGAUUAGAGCACCUAGAAAGUUUUGAACGGAAAGCAAGAUUUCGCGCGAGCGUUUUGCUAUCGCAAAAGACCUCAAGCCACCCACACGGGCUCAUUGAAGCGUCCCCAGAGCUCCCGUCCUUCCAGACACAUCUCAGCGCAAUCCAGCUCCUCGGGCGAGCCAGGGAUCUCAUCGCUCUCGAAACUUUGCGCAGUGGGCUCUUCGUCCUCUGAAGUCUUAAACCGCUUAGGUGAUGAUGAUGGAGGACGAUGGCUUUCGCUUUCUGAGCUUCUCUCGCGAUUUCUUUUCAGAUCUACAGAGACGAAUUUUAAAAAAAUGUCAGAUUGUGUUAUCAGCUCUAGAUGAACACACAUGAAGUUUUCACUUCGACUGGAUUUAACCUUAAAAGUAUUGUGUAUCCCUAGAGUACUAGAGGCGGUUAAAUACAUUUACCUUCACUGGAC